UUAAUAGAAACCAAAAAGAGGUAUUCCACUGUUAAUGGAAAAAUUGAAAUUAUUUCCUAUUAAG